rnacentral:rRNA from 1 species
ACCUGCCGAAUGAAUUAGCCCUGAAAAUGGAUGGCGCUGAAGCGGGUGGCCGACACCACGCCGUGUGACCGAGCUUUGAUGUUACAUGAGUAGGAGGGCGUGGCGGGCGUGGAGAAGCGUGGGCGCGAGCCUGCGUGGAACGGUCCGCUAGUGCAGAUCUUGGUGGUAGUAGCAAGUAUUCAAGCGAGAACCUUGAAGGGCGAAGCGGGGAAGGGUUCCACGCGAACAUUGAUUGGGCGUGGGUGAGUCGUUCCUAAGCCGAGUGGCAAUUGCUAAGUAGCGGCGAAAGGGAAGCGGGUUGAAAUUCCCGCACACGGAUGUGGAGAGCGGUGACGCAAAAUGAGGCGAACACGCUGGCGACGGCGCUGGGCAGAGUUGUCUUUUCUGUUUGACCGAGUGUGCGGGCUGUGUGGAAUCCGCUUGUCGGGAGAAACACGCUUGCACGGGCAGAGCGCCGGGGCUUUUCCGGCGUCCAGCUCGCCGUCGACGGCCCUUGAAACUUUGCCUGCUGAAACAUUUUAAAUCCACGCCGUGGCGUACCGAUCACCGCAUCAGGUCCCCGAGGUGAACAGCCUCUGCUCGAUAUGAACAAUGCAGGUAAGGGAAGUCGGCAAAUUGGACCCGUAACUUUGGGAAAAGGGUUGGCUCUAGUGCUGCGUGGGAGAGGUUGUCUGUGUGUGGGGGCGGAGAGUGGGCCGGCUUGGCGCGGUAGCCUCGCAAGGGGAUACUGUUCUGGGCUGCUCGCUCACUGUUUCCGCCGCGGACGACGCCCACGGCAUGCAGCAGACUAGAACUGCAACGGGCAAAGGGAAUCCGACUGUUUAAUUAAAACAAAGCAUUGAGAAGG